rnacentral:rRNA from 1 species
CAGUAGCCGCGGUAAAACCAGCACCUCGAGCGGUCAGGAGGUUUAUUGGGCCUAAGGCAUCCGUAGCCGGUUGCAUAAGUUUUCGGUUAAAUCUAUGCGCUUAACGUAUAGGCCGCCGAAAAUACUGUGCAGCUAGGGAGUGGGAGAGGUACACGGUACUCGAUAGGAAGGGGUAAAAUCCUUUGAUCUAUUGAUGACCACCUGUGGCGAAGGCGGUGUACCAGAACACGUUCGACGGUGAGGGAUGAAAGCUGGGGGAGCAAACCGGAUUAGAUACCCGAGUAGUCCCUGUCUCUUAUAC